rnacentral:lncRNA from 1 species
AAAUGCAUGUUUUAAUAGUAAAAAUGCAUACAUAAAGAGCAUGAUUUAAUGGUUAUGUUUUAUAAGUAAAUUAGAUUUACACUGUAUUAUUAUCAUACUUUACUAAGAAUAUUUUGGAAUACCAUACUUUAUCGAAACUUAUGUUCUUUGUAGUAUAUAUGAUGGAUGACUAUAUACUAUUUAUGAACAUGUCUUUACACUUCUUUGUAGUAUAUAUGAUGGAUGACUCUAUGCUAGGAAUAUGAUUUUGAGAUAUAUGUAUCUAUGUUUGGAAAGAUUAUAUUCAAUGGUUUUGUGCGUAUCUAGUGGUCACAUAUAUGCCUUCAGGUGGGUGUUGUAGGAGCCUACGGGGGAUUGAUACAUGUAUGCCUUCGGGUGGGUGCUGUAGGAGCUUACGGGCGAUUGAUAUUUGAAGUAUUUAUGAAGGAAGGCCUUCAAGCAAAUGGAGAGUUCUAUGUGCCUUCAGGCGACACUAAUACCACUAUUUAGCACACUAUAUACUACAUAUGUUUUGUGAGAGAUUUUAUGGCAUGCUAGGGUUUUCGAAAAAACCUAUCACAUAUUAUGCUAUUAGUUUUCAUAAAACUUUGGGGAUUAGUAUGUUGAAUAAUUCUUUCAGUAUUAUUUAUAUAUAACUUGGUCCACUCAUGUUUGUUUUGCGCCCCCUCAGGACAUAGGAACAAGGCGUACAAUCCGAACUAUGAGGCAUUCCCCUACCAGUGAUAUCGUGACUUCAUCUCUGUUUUGACAUCAUAUAGCAACCUUCCGUUGUAUUCUAAAUUAGAUAUAUGCUCUGAACAUGUCAUGCACUAUUACUAUCUUUAUCAUUGUUGGCAGUUGAAUAUUAGUAUAUUAUUUUUAUGUAGUUCAAACGAAAUUUAUACGAAUGAUUUACAUGUUCUCAGCAUAUGCAUUCAUUAAAUGGCUUGCGUCACCCUCAGGUGUCGGCCAACACGUGGCCAUC